ensembl:lncRNA novel transcript
AGAGGGUGCCUGGCCCAUAGGGGCAGCACGGUGACUGGUUAUGCUUCCUUCAUUUGUUCACCCAACAAACACUGACUCAAGCACCUACUAAGAGCCAGGCUGAGGACCUUAAGAAUCAGGACAAAGUACACAGGCAUAGUUUAAACAUCGUCACAGCAGAUGAUGACUCAGAAAAUGCAUUUGAGAAAGUGAUAACAGAAGACUCAUUUGUGUCCUUGGCCCAUGUAAAGAAGAAAAUUCAGAGCCCUCCGAACCAACCGAAUUCAAUAAACACCUUCAAAAUUACAGAUUUUUAUAUGACAUGUGUUGGUCACAAGUAAAACCUCUUAAACAAAGUGUGGUAAUAAUUUUUAAAGCGCAUACUGCUGGGCACAGUGAACCAACCCACUUUAUGAAGGCACUUUAACAUUAAAAUAGCUUAAA